ACGCUGCACACCUGCAUUGCCUUGCCAUCUCCCCAUCCUGCCAGUGGCGGCUUGGAAGAGAAGACCUCCCAGUGUGUGGGGUUGGCCUCUUUAAGACUUUAUGAGUAUUAGCUUGACAGCCUGCUUCCAAGACUAGGCUUGGAACUGUAUCUUCUAACGAGUGGUAGACUUUGAGAAAUGGAGGUUUGAGAGCUGCAGUGGAUCACUGAUUGCAGUUUCCUCUAAGUUGCAGCACUGAAAACAAUGGCAAAUGAAUAUAUUAAAAACUGCUGUAAAUGGUGUUUUUAUGUGGAAAAAGAAAAAAGCAAUGCAGUUUCCAUGGCGCAGGAAUCUGAAGCUGUACCCGCAAGGAAGCCAACUAUUGUAGAGCAACCUCCAUUGUCUUCGGUGUCAGUGAAGCGGCAAGUUGGCUGUUCAGAGGAUUAUCUGCUUUCUAAACUGCCCCUGGAUGGGCAGGAGGUACCAUUUGUGGUCCCACCAUUCAAACUGGCUUAUGUGCAGCCAAAAAACCUUCCUAAUACCUCACAUGCUGGACGGAUUCAAGAAUCUGCUAGAGCUUCUUUUGGGGACCGGAAAGCAGAACUGUGCGGUGUGUACCAGUGGCCCCGCUAUGAUGUGUACAACCCAUUCUACUUGGAGCAUCAUGUUUCACCAGACCAGAUUAGGCGCUUCCAAGCCAAAUCAGAUCAUAGGAAAUUAUAUGGAUCAGUUAGUGAUUUAAGAACCAGUGCUUUGCCUGGAUCACUUGAUUUAAGUCAUUCAAUGUUUGAUCUUAGAAGCCCACCUCAUCGAUUCAUGAAGAGAUAUGAUUCAGUCUCCAGUGUACCUAGCAGCACCUCCUCCAGAAAGGACUCACACGGCAGUAACAGGAGUCUGGAUACCAUUACAUUAUCAGGUGAUGAACGAGACUUUGGAAGACUGAAUGUAAAGUUGUGUUAUGUUCCUUCUGUGGAGCAGAUCUGGAUCACAGUUUUACAAUGCAAAGGGCUGAGCUGGCCUUCUGGCUGUGGGGAAAAUCCUCGUAUCUAUGUCAAGGGAAUUCUCACGCUGCCCAAGCCUGUGCAGUUCAAAUCCUCUGCCAAGGAAGGCUGCAAUGAUAUUGAAUUUAUGGAAACUUUUGUAUUUGCCAUUAAGCUGCAGAGUGUUCAGGCUGUCAGACUGGUAUUUAAAAUCCAGACACAGACUCCUAGGAAAAGAACAAUUGGGGAAUGCUCUUUGUCAUUGCGUGAGCUCAGCUCAGAGGAGUCAAAUCAUUGGCUGGAUAUAUCUCCUCCUUCCAAAGCACCUGUGUGCCGCACAGAACUUCAAAUAGGAACUUGUUUUCAAGCAAUAAACAGGAGGAUUCAGUUACAGAUUCUUGAAGCACAAAAUCUUCCAAUUUCAUCUACACCGCUGUCUUUAAGUUUCUUUGUGAAAGUUGGAAUGUUUAGUACAGAAGGGCUGAUCUAUAAGAAGAAGACCCGUCUUGUGAAGUCCACUAAUGGCCAAGUGAAGUGGAGAGAAAUGAUGAUUUUUCCAGUUAGCCAAGCUGAACAAGGAAUUAGUUUUCUCAUCAAACUCUACAGCAGAAGCUCAGUGAGAAGAAAGCAUUUCCUAGGACAGGUCUGGAUAAGUUCUGACAGCAAUAACAGUGAAGCAAUAGAGCAGUGGGAAGAUACUAUUGCUAACCCUGAAAAAGUUGUUAUUAAGUGGUACAGCCUUGGUCCAUCUUGAAGACUGGAUAUGAAAAUGAGGACUCUUUUUUUCACUAAGAUAUUCUUGUGCUGUUUAAAAUAAUAGAAAUAAAAAGAAAAAUAUUGUCUACACAAACUGUUCAAAAGGAAUCUACUCUAUCAUGCCUCCAUGUUAACUGGAAAAACUCGAUUUCCUGAAGAGAGUUACUGCCUAAAUACUGUUAAGAGGAAGACUCAGGAAAUGGGAAGAGCACUUGUUUGGUUUUAAAAAGUCCACCUCUUUUUCCCCUUUCAGGCUCUGUAAGAGUAUAGAAAUCCAGGACUGGAGAGAAAGUGUGUGAAUCAAUGUCAUUUGCACUAGUUACAGACUUCAUCUUUGCAUCUGCAGUCAUGAUUUUGGCAGUCUUCACAGCCCAUGGGGAACCAGUCUGGUCGGCGGCUUGAUCCUAGGUACCUUUGAGCCUUAUGCCACACCUGUAUUGACAAAUUCAGCUAGAGUAAUGUGUGCCUCAGCAGGUGGGAAAGCUGUAGGAGGAGGCCUAAAGGGAACUGUACAGUGAUGCAGCACCCAAAGGCUUUUCUAAUCUCUGCCUCUGGUGAAGAGCACCGACAUACUACUAUCUUUGGUUUUCACCCAUCCUUCUCCCUGUGUUCUAAACAGAGGAACUGAAAGAUAAAAGUGUCUUUGACUAUUUGUAAUAUUCUCAAGUGGGACCCUCCAGCCUCACUGUUUUGUGGCUGCUGGAAGGAAUAAGGAGAAUACUGUUACACAGAUCUCUAGUUCCUAUGAUCCUCAGUAUUUUACAGGAGCGCCAACAGUGCAUGCUUGGAAAAUCAUCUGUUGAACCCUCAAUCCAGCAACCUGCUGAGAUGUAAAGAGUUCUCAACUCAUGGCCUUGCAGGUACUACGAGUACACAGCCAAGAACAGCUGUGCAGCACAUGUUAUUUCCAAGACUGGAAUUCUGAAAAUUUGAAACAUUAAAAACUAUUUAUCUACCCACAAUCUGAAAGGCUCUGAAUCUGCAACAUAUACAGGUUGCAGCCAUUUCACAUCAUGCCUGGGGAACCAGGAGUCUGGAAAUCCUGGAAGCCUGCAGCCUCCUGAGAGCACUCCUGGCAGUCUGGGGCUUGCAGCUUUGACUGCCUUCUAAUGGGCAUCUACCUUCUAUUUAGUGAAGAUUAAUUUACGUUGGCUAUGAAGCUAUAUUACAGAAAUAGUAUGAAAUAGAAUAGUAGAAAUAAAAUAGUAUUAUGUUUGUAAUGUCAGCUACUGCCACACCACAGAGCAUUCUAAUUACCAGACUGAAAGAAAGUAGGUCUUGGUACCACUAUCCCAAUCACAAGAGAAUGAUAAAAUUCAGGUAUUUAUUUAUUUUUUUUCUUUUGAUUUUUGAGUGCAUAGUUGUGUCAGAAACAAUAUUCUGGGGUGUUGAAAUAAAUUGCUUAAUUGCUGUUUAUCCAAGCUGAUUGCAGGCCUCUCAAAUUAUAUUUACUUUAUAAGUAAUAGCAUGUAUCCCGAUGUCGGUAAUAAAUCAGUAUGCUGUUCGAAUGUACGGGAAGGAGGUAGUAAAGGUAAAACUAUAGUACAAUAAUCUCAAACGUUCAUAAUGACGGUAGAAAUUGACACACUGCACGUACUGAAUGCAAAACUGGUAUUUUGUGCUUGGGAACAAAGAUAUUUAACAAUAAAAUACUGUUACAGAAAAAGGAAAUGCCACACUGAGACAAUAGUUAAGGGUUUUGUGCAGAAGGCACAAGUACAAAUAGCUGCACUUGGUGCUGGGAAAGCCUCGGUUGGAGGAUGAUGUCCAGCUGUGGUCAUCAUCUUUCAAGACAAAGCACAGAGGAAGAAACAAUGUUAUGAACAACAAAACCUGACCCGUAAGAACUGAAAGUCCUGAGCUGUUUAAUCUGGCAAAGAGAAGGCACAGAAAUAAAAUUCUAGUUUGUCAAAGUGUUGAAAAAAGACAGGGAAGUAUUGUUCUCUGUGUCUACUAGGGAUGAGCUGCUUACUCACUCACCUGAACCCAGCUGACAAAGAAGCUUCACCUGGGAAAUGCUGCAUCUGUUUCUUCAACAUCUCCAUAACAUAUCAAAGCAAGAAUGUGCUCAGAUGGAACCUUAUGAGCCUUAAAGUUUGUCUGUUGCUGAAGACGAGUGAAAAGGUGGUUUUCUUAACAUACUUAGUUUGCUGGCCUACAGAAAAAAAGAAUUCAAAGCAGUCAGAAAAUGACACAUGAAAAGUUCUCAGUGAAACACAGCCUCUUUUUCAUUUGGCUUUUAUAUUAUUUUAAGAAAGUUUGCCUUUUCUCAGAAUCAAACCUUCAUGUUGCAAAAUACAAUGUUAAUACUACCACAGCCUUCAGUAGUCACAGCAUCUCCAUUCUGUAUUCAAUGCAUUAACUCUCACUGUCUGUUCUACUCCAUAGGCACUGCUUUCUAAAAACUUUCCACUACCUCAAGCAUGAGCAAGAAGCUAAAACAAAGGCUCAUUGAAUUCCUCAGUCAUGGGCCUCAGCCAUGGAAUAUGUGAGGUCACCAUAUGCCCUUGGGCACCCUUUAUUUCAAGGGGUGUGCUAAGCAGCCAGAAAUACAGGCUUACAAAGUACCGUAAGAUUAGUAAGUGAAAAGGUUUAUUAAGUGCUGUUUUGAUCCCAUUUUGGAGGUUCCCUCAGUGAUUUUCACUGUUCAUGCCUUUCUUCAUCCACUUAGCUGAUCACGGUGACAUUUAAUGCAAUAGGAUAAAGAUCCUUCCACUAAAUAUCACGGUGGUAUACAAACAGGAUAGACUUCAUUCCAUUCUCUCUCCUGGAAACAAGCAGGAUGGUACCAAAAUCUGUGGAAAUGCUUUUAGUUAUUUUAUUUUCCUUUUAAGUUUCAUCCCAUAGUAGCAUCGUUUUCUUUCUGACUUAACAGCAGGAUUCUGAUACUUCUGCCCAGAGAGGCUGCAUGGAUUUAGUCACAGUGAAGAGCUACACUAAUAAUAGAGAACAAAACACCAGCAACAACAAAAGGAAUUCUUUUUGUAUUAAGCUGUAGAUGCUUUAAAUUAGUGAACUGGUGGCUGCUUUCAACUUGAAUGUGAUUAAAUUGCAAAAGGUAACCUCUUCAAAUAAAUAAUAAUAAUAAAAAGUUCUGCAUGAAUGAGACACAGUCACGAAGUAAAGUUUAAUAGCACAGAUUUUGCUAGAUCUUCUCUAAAAUUACUGAAACGUCCAGUUGGGAACUGGAGUUAUUAAUUAAUCUGCUUACAGAUCAAUCCCAGCCAACUCACAUUUACAGGAUAGUCCGUAUUUUCAGAUGUAACUGAUUGUGUUUUGAAUUUCAAAGCCCAUCUGUUACCACUCCUGUUUGUCAGGCUGACACAUGGGCACCUCUUUGCUGAUUCCCAAACAAGCCCAUGUAUAACAGGACUGGGCUUACCAUGUCUCAUGUUGAUUUUUUGAUUUUAUUAUACUCAAUUAACACAAUUAAACUUCUUUUUUUUCUCUUA